CAAAAUGUCAAUUGAAAACAACAACUUGGUGAGAAAUGCUGUUGUCGUUGCAAUUAUCCCGAGACUUUGAGAAAUGACCCAGAAGGGUGCCAGUUUGUGUACAAAGUGAAUUGAAAGACAAUUCUUAGACUGAAAGACCUGUUCAGUAAAAUGGUGGUGUACUAUCAGCUUGAGUAAGAUAUGAACAUGCAUGAGAAAGGUUAAUGUCAGUUGUAUCAAGUUGUUUUUUUUGAGAAGUGAAAUUGGGAAGAAUCUUGACAAAGGUUAAUGUCAGUUUGUCUCAAGUAGAGAAAGGAUAAGAAGUGAAAACCAGAAAUAUGCAAUUAAAAAAUAAAAACUGGGAAUACUAUGAUAUCCCGAAGAGAUAAUCUGUAUGCAAAGUCCAAAUUAUACACUAACAUAUUCCCCAGAAAUCUAAAGACAGCACAACAAACUUAUAUGCAUCCCAAUGUUGAAUUAGUCUCUGUACAGCUUGAAAUUCUAACAAGAAAGCUUGACAAAC